UAACUUCGUCGUAACCGUUUUCGACCUCAACAACGGACUUUCAGACAUUAAUUCCGUCGUGACCGAUUUUGACCCCAACAUCUCUCCAACUUGUGUUCUUAGGCCAAGCAACAUAAAAAAACUUCAGUUUCUAGGUUAAAGAUGAGUUAGGACACGUCUAUCAUUUCCACUCGCAGCAGGUAAGGGUAAUUUCGGCACUUUACAUGAUAUUAUAUAACAUAUCGUACCCUCUUAAUUGUUAUGUGCAUUGCAUUAAUUUUUUUUUUAUUAUGUACAUGAGCCCAAAUUUCCCAUCACCGAACUGGACAGUCAAAGCCGUAGACUAUUGACAUUGUCUUUUCCCCCUUAAUAGUCUGCAAAUCCUCACUUACUUCAUUUUCCUUUUAAAAAACUACUUUAAUUUUCAAGUAAUCUGCAUUGGUAAUCUCUAACCAGCUUAUAUUAAUAUUUGAUUAGAUAACUUCUUAGAAAAGCUCAAAAAAUCAUACUAAAAUAUUUUACUUGAAAAAUUUUCACAUGAAUUUUUUAAAUUUCUAAAAACGAUUUAAUUGAAUAUUAAUAUAAGUAACGAGAGACUCUAAUGAAAUAUUCAUCAAUGCAAAUUACUUUAAAUAUGUAUGAAUUCUAAACUCAUACUAUGUAUUUAUCGGGUUUGCUUGUAAGAGAAUAGAAGGCUCUUUGCUACAGUAUCCUUAAAACAACAACGAUGUAAUAAGGUUUAAGUUGACAAAAGUGAAUUUACAUAGAUGAAUUAUCGAGUUACACGGUAUGAAGCAAGAUCAAAACUACAAAAGAAGUAAUAAAGCUAAGUGUUUGAGAGAUAUGUUGAGUAUGUGUGGUGUUUUCGAAUGUCUUUCAUCUCUCACUCUCAUCAUCUUCUUUUUUUAUCACUACAAGGGAGUGAGUAAAGAUAGCUCAUGAAGAUAGUGUUUUUUACAUAAAUGCUAUAAUUGAUAUAACACGCAGUUUAAGAUAGCUUUUCAAAAUGCAAACGCUAUCUUUGUUUUUUACGGAUUCUAAAACUUUGUUUUAAAUAGCAUAUGUAUAGUUAAAACGCUGUGUUUAAUCUAGACGGAAAAAUUAUUUCAUUUCUCGGCAAAGACUUACCAAAAAUUAUUUCACUCUCCCUCCCAAAUUCUCGAAAUUCACAACCAAAAUUUUCUUAAUUCUUUCAUAUUCUUCUUCUCUCAAUACAAAAUUUUCUUAAUUCUUUCAUUUUCUUAAUAUUUUUUUCUCAACCAUUUUCAUAUUCUUCUUCUUUCAUUUUCUCAACCUAAUUUAAAAACAACGGAGGAGAAAUCAACGCCAAGAAUCUUGGCCGUAGCCGACUCCAAUUUCGAGCUCUCCCCUCUUCCACAGCUACGGUAGCUCACUUCUUCGAUUCUCCACUUCGAAAUCUCUCCUCUCUUGUAUAUCUCCUCCGAUUCAACAUCUCCAGCUGCUCAUGUCUCUGUAUCUUCUCCUAGUGCUCCUAUAAUCUCUCUCGCUUCCUUAAAGCAUGAUUCUUCAUAAGUGUUGUUGAUUUUGUGGUCUCCAAUGAUUUGCCUUGUUUGUUGAUUCUCUUAUGAAUUUCCAGAUAUAGUCUCUUCAGUUCUCUCUGGCUAUCGAUCUCCUCAAACAAAAGACGAAGCUUGUUUGAAUCUCUGUCUUUGUAGAUAGUUUAUUGUGUUCUUACGCGAGUGUUUCAUUUGACAGGCAUUGAUUACACUGAAGAUCUUGUGACCUAUAAUGCUGCUGACCACAAGGUUGAACAAGUUCGUCUCUUUCUAUCUCUCGUCUUCACUACGAUGUCUAUGGAGCAGAAAUUUUGUUUCCACAAAGUUUGUAUGAAGCUCAAAGUUGAAGACUUUGAGAGUGUUACUUGUUCAAACUUUGAGAUGCAAGCGUAAUGUGAUGUAGCAAACAAUGCUACUUGUAGCUAGUUUCUUGUGUUCUUACUUGUACCUUUUGAAUUUUGGCAGGCAUUGAUUACACUGAAGAAGGGCUUUCAGCUUUUGAUAUAUGGUCGCAAAGGAAAAGCAAAGUUAAAUCCUUUUAGACUGUCUAGUCGUUUUCUGUUGUAUCUGAGAAAAGUAUUCUCGUUGGUGUUGGUUUUCCAGGAUGAUAAGCCUUUGAUCUGGAUAUCUAGUAGCAGUGAAAAGCGAAAUGCGCGGGGCAAAUGACAAUCAAACAAGAUACCUCGUUUACGGACUCCCAGCAAACGGAAUCAAACCACAGCUCCAUCAACAGCCACGACAAGAAGCAGAUGAUGAUCAAGGAAGUGAUGUGGAGGAGAUCACACGAGUAGAGUGCAGACUCUCCAUGGGAUACUUCAUACGUGUUGAGGAAGCAGAAGAAGACAUCGAUCCUAUGUUCCGGAGAGUUGUCCAAAAACUCAAAGACAAUGCACGCCCAAAACGAGAACAAGGAGAGUCCUCACGUGGCAAGUCUCGUCGCCGAGACUAAGCCAUCGUGCCAACACUUUCAUGUGAGAUAGAGAUCAAAAUAAAUUGAGAUGUUUGCUUAUAGUUGUUUCAUCUCACUUUAUUUUUCACUAGUGAUUACAUUUAUGAUUUUCCUUUGACGUUGAAUGAAUACUCCGAGAACAGGGGAACUGGAAUGUACCCAAUUUUAUAUAUAAAAUUUUAAAAAUCUUUUUUUUUAA